rfam:Brassica oleracea var. oleracea cultivar TO1000 chromosome C7, whole genome shotgun sequence
GGAAUAUAAGAACACGUCUCUUAACUAUUAACUAAAAAAACUAAGAACCGGUUCUUAAAUAGGAGUUUUAAGAACCGGUUCUUAACUUUUUUAAUUAAAAAUUAAGAGACGGGUUCUUAUAUUUC